UGUCUGGACAAAAUAUAAAGACUUGCUGGAAAAUAAAACACCCAGGUGGCUUUCACCACUAGAAGCUAAGGCCCGAAAAAGACCCAAUAUGGAGGCUAAAUGGCCAAAAUACUGGGAAAUACUAGAAAAGGAUGGAGACAAUUGGAAAUUGCAGAGUUUGGAGAAAAUGAAAGACAAAGUGCGAGAUUGGUUACAUUACGCUCAGAUUAAAGAAGUUUUUAAAAAUGAUAAGAAAUUAGGGUUCCAGGUGGAGAAAUCGAAACUAGAAACAGAAUUGUUAGAACCAAAGAUUAAGGUACUAUCAAGGAUGUAUAACUUGCUGUUAGAAUGGAAUACACAAGAUGAAACGGUUAAAUCGGCUAUGAUAAGGUGGGCACAGGACAUUGGGUAUAAUAUUAUGUUUGAGGACUGGGAAAGGUUGUGGAGUAAUGGAUUGAAAUUUACCGCAUGUAACGCUUUGAAAGAGAAUGUAAUGAAAAUGAUUUAUAGAUGGUAUAUGACCCCAGUCAAACUUGCAAAAAUUUACCACCUGUCUGACAAUAAGUGUUGGAAAUGCAAAGAGUGUGAGGGAACGUUUUUCCACCUCUGGUGGACUUGCCCUAAAGUGAAGGCGUUCUGGGAAAUGAUUUAUAAUGAAUUGAAAAAGGUAUUUAAAUAUACCUUCACUAAGAAACCAGAGGCCUUCCUUUUGGGUAUUGUCGGCCAAGGGGUGGCAAAGAGGGACCAGACAUUUUUUAUGUAUGCAACAACAGCAGCAAGGAUACUUCUCGCAAAAUACUGGAAAACUCAAGAUCUACCCACACUGGAAGAAUGGCAGAUGCAACUGAUAGACUACAUGGAACUGGCUGAAAUGACCGGCAGAAUUCGUGACCUGGGAGAAGAGAGGAUAGAGGAGGAUUGGAAGAAAUUUAAGAAUUAUCUACAAAAACAUUGUAAUUUGAGUGAAUGCUAAAUAAGAUGCUAGACUAAAACAACUGAGCACCACUAAAUUUAGAAUUUUUUCAAGAAAACAAGUAAGAUUGUGAAAAUUUAACUCCUUUCGAGAAUUACAAGAUUAUGAAAUAUAGAAGGGAUAUAAGAAUUUAAAUAAGAUGAUAAAUUGCUGAUAAAAUGUUAUAACGAUGAAAGUGGGAGCGGGAGAUGUGAGGAAGUCCAAAGAAAAUGUGAAACUAUGUUAAGACAAAUGUUAUAUUGUUUAUCAUGUUUAUUUUUAUUGUAAAACCCAAUAAAUUGCUUU